AAUUUCAGCUAAAAAAGUCAUAAACAUAAAAGUUGAAGAACUCAUCAAGAUACACAACUUUUAUUUUGGUCAUUUCUUCAUCCGACAAACUUACUAACAUUAUUCACAAAUUUGCAUCUCUGUUAUAGUUUAUAAAACCAUAUGAGAGAUAUGUAAAAUUCGUGAACAAUAUUACUAUCACUUUGUCGGAUGAAGAAAUGACCAAAAUAAAAGUUAUAUAUCUUGAUGAGUUAUACAAUUUUAUUGUUGAUGACUUUUUCAAUUUAAAUC
rnacentral:pre_miRNA from 1 species